rnacentral:lncRNA from 1 species
GUAACGCUUGUCGAGUCUUCCAUUUUUCCAUUUCCUAAUAUAGUCUUUUACAUUCAAUGCUUUUAACAGAUUCGAGAAGAGAGUGAGAUACGAAUCUCGCAAGUCAAGAGCAGAUGUAAGGAGGCGUGUGAAGGGACGGUUCGUGAAGGCAGGGGAUGCUUAUGAUUAUGAUCCAUUAAGCAAAACACAAAGUUGCUGAGUAUAAAUCUUUUGCUCUUGCAAAUGGAUGACACUGAUGAAUGAAAAAUUGUAGAGGUGAUGUUCAGAGAGCCAACUCCUGCAUUCAAUAUGCCAGACCUUCAAGUUCACAGAGAGAUCAAAAUUAUUGGUUUUUGUUGUUCAUGUUUGAUUAGCAUCUCCAAUUGGUGGACACAGCAAGAUUGAGGAAUCAUCAUUUUGAUAUUGACAGGUCAGCUAGCCAUGUACAGGAGUCGUCAACUUUUAAUGCAGAAGCACCUUGCUAUUGUAAUUUAUCUGUUGUUUUUUCACCAGUUGUUACUGCCUCAAAUUAG